rnacentral:rRNA from 1 species
UGUAGUGUCAACGAUGAUGCAUACAUGUCAACUAUGGGUGUUGGCUCCAACAAUUCGCAUUGGUCUCAAACCAAUGACAUGCGUUUCGAAGACCAUGAGUUCGAGGUGGACGAGGAUGGUGAGGGCAUUGUCGACGCGCCGAAAGGAAGAUCGGGCAAUUACACCAACGCCGAUGACAUCUUACUAUGCAAUACUUGGUUGCAAGUGUUGAGGGAUCCAUCUGUUGGAGGUGAUCAAAGUAGAGAUGCUUAUUGGGGGCGGAUGAAAGAAUACUUUGAUGUUCGCAACGUGAGUGGAAUUGACCGCUCCGAGAGAUCACUUCGGUCCCGGUGGUCGACAAUCAACAUGGAUUGUCAAAAGUGGGCGGCCGCACAAAAGGCGGUUGACAAGUUGAACCCAAGUGGCACCAAUGAGGAUGAUAGAGUAAGUGGCAUUUCAUCCAUGUUCAUCAUACUUGUUGGUGUUUGA